UACUCAGGCCGCAGCUUCGGUCCGGGCGUUUGUCCGGUGAAUAGGGAACGAGGUGCAAACCCUCGACUGCCCCCGCAACUGUAAGCGGCGAGCGUGAUCGGCACAUGCCACUGGGAUAUCCCGGGAAGGCCCGAAACACGCGACGACCCGCAAGUCAGGAGACCUGCCGAAGCAGAUCACCCUUCC
rnacentral:ncRNA from 1 species